GGAGCUUCCGCCGCCGUAGCCGCCGCCGAAACUUCCGCCGCCGCGUCCGCCGCCUCCGGAACUAAACGGGGUGAGGUCACAUUCGGUUAUCUCUAACGUUGGAAAACGAUGGAGCUAACACCCAUUAUGGAGAUUAACCACUUUUCAUCAGGUUUUUAACUUAAGUCGUGAGGAAUACAACGGUGAACACAAGAUUCAUUUUAUUUUCAUCACCAUGGGACGUAUCCUGUUGUUGAGUUCUCUGGGUCAGACCUCUGAAGACUUCUCAGAUGGAUCCUAGUCUCUGGGCUUGCCCUGAAAUUACUCGCUGCUCAGGGAGAGAGUUGAAAUGGUUGGCAUCCUCCCACUCUGUUGCUCCGGCUGUGUCCCCUCGCUCUGUUGUUCCAGCUAUGUGCCCUCUGUUGCUCCAACUGCAGCUCAUUCUGUUAGAGUUCCUCAUUCAGCUGGUCACUGUGGCCAGAGGGUGUUGGCCUGCUCCCUUCCUCAAGUAUUCUUAAAGCCAUGGAUUUUUGUGGAGCAUUUUUCUUCCUGGCUCUCCCUUGAGUUAUUUUCCUUUCUUCGCUAUCUUGGGACUCUUCUUUGUGCUUGCGGUCAUCGGUUGAGAGAAGGACUUCUUCUUCCUUGUCUCCUUGGUGUUGGCUCGUGGUUGCUCUUCAACAACUGGACUGGAGGCUCUUGGUUUUCUCUUCAUCUUCAACAAGUCAGUCUCUCUCAAGGGUCUCACGUUGCAGCAUUCUUACCAGAGGCCAUUGGGCCUGGAGUUCCAGUUCCAGUGUCUGGAGAGUCCACCUCAGCUCAGCAAUCUCAUGCCGGUUGGCAAUUGUCAGCAGAAGCCGAUGCCUGCCCAUCAGUUCUUUACUCUGAGGUGUUAGAGUGGAAUAAAAAUAUAAAUACUUAUACUAGUUUUCAUGACUUCUGCUUAAUAUUGGGUAUUUUUUUGUUUUGUUUUGUUUUGGCGGUGAUAGGCUUACCUUACAUUAAACCAGGCCUUAGCCUUUCUGUGGCUUUGUUAUGGCAAAGCCUCAUAUUACUCUCUAGUCUGGUUCAGCAGGACAGUCAGGUCCACACCUGGGGCUGUUUGUUUUCUACGUUUACCUCAACAUAAGGUACCUUAUCAUUGUCAGCCUUCAUCUCCUGAUCCAAAAUAAAAUAAAAUGCCACAGGUUACUUGAUUUUGCAUCUGGAAUAUGAUUAUUUAAAGAAAUUAAAAAUUUAAAACUGAAAAUGUAGAGUUUAGAAAUCUUUUUUAAGGUUUCAAAAAAAUUUCUAGGAGACAACAAAAUAGUGUUACUAGAUUUAGCAAAUAAAAUACAGAAUGCCAAUUAAAUUUGAAUUUCAAAUGAACAUUGAAUACUUUUUUUGGUAUAACUAUAUUCCAUGCAAUAUUUGGGACAUAUCUGUUAUAUUAUUCAUUGUUUACCUGAAAUUAUAAUUUAAACUGAGAGUUCUGUAUUUUAUCUGGCAACCUUAUUAUGAAAAUAUUUAGGAUCAAUAUAAAGGAAUAAUAUUUUUAAUUUUUACAAACUAUUUUAAUAUAAGUAAUUUAUUUGAUUUUCAUUGUCAUCCUGAGAGUUAAGUUUUGCCUUACAGUCUAUGUUACUUUACCUGUGUUUUAUGAAAAGACUGUCUCUUAUAAUGAUAGCCACCACCACCAUAUCUUGACAAGUAUUGACAUACUGAAACUUUAAAUUCAUUUUGUGUAGUUCCCGCCUCUUCAUGAUUGUUUCUGAGGUAAUUCAGCUUCUCCGUCUGGCUUUCCAUUUUCAACUCUAGGUUAGUCUUGUUCAAAGUCAACUCAUCUAAGACACUUCGCAGGCCCUUGCUAUCAGCCUCAACACAGUGAUAAAGGACAACUUUACUCUGGCAUCUGAACAGAGCCCAAUUGGAAGAAUCAAUACAGCUUAGAUGGAGGUCUCCUCAUCCAGUGGUAAUAAAACAUCCCACAUAGUGGAGCUUAGAGAGCACAGCACUGGGAUGUGAAGACAUGGGUUCAAAUUGCACCUCUGCCAUGUUCAGCUGUCACCUUGGGCAAAUUACUUCUCUGAACCUUAGUUUUCUCAUCAUUAAAAUGGGAAUAUUGGU
ensembl:lncRNA KRT10-AS1 KRT10 antisense RNA 1